AUGAUUGUUGGCCUCAGGGGCAAUAAGUGGGUUGUUACCUACUUUGUUGCACAGCAUACACACCCUUUGAUGCAGCGUGAGGAGAUUGUGAGGUUCUACCGCUCACACCGCAAAAUUCCAGAAGAAGAUUACCAACUACUGAUGACAAUGCAUGAUGUAAACUUGUCAACUACAAAUUGCAUGGGAAUGCUUGGAAUGGUCCAUGGCGGAGACCAGAGGAAACUUCCAUAUGUGAAGAGGGAUGUUUCAAAUGCACGUUCCAAGCUGCGACAAAAUCAGUCAUUUCAGGACAUGGAUAUGACGGUUGCUUACUUUAAGAGGCGUCAAGCUGAGAAUGCUCAAUUCUACUAUGCAACAGAAGUUGACAAACAAACAAACGAAGUGACAGCUCUGUUUUGGGUGGAUGGAAGGACAAGAUCAUUGUACCCAAAGUACAAAGAUUGUGUGUUCUUUGACACAACAUUUUGCACAAAUCGGUACAAUCUGCCUUUCACUCCUAUUGUUGGUGUGAACAACCACUUGCAAACCGUGCUGCUAGGUUGUGCCUUGGUGCCAAAUGAACAAAUAGAAACUUUCAAGUGGGUGCUUCAACAUUAG
rnacentral:rRNA from 1 species